UGGGGAAUAUUGCACAAUGGGCGCAAGCCUGAUGCAGCUAUGCCGCGUGUAUGAAGAAGGCCUUCGGGUUGUAAAGUACUUUCAGUCGGGAGGAAGGUGGUAAGGUUAAUAACCUUAUCAAUUGACGUUACCGACAGAAGAAGCACCGGCUAACUCCGUGCCAGCAGCCGCGGUAAUACGGAGGGUGCAAGCGUUAAUCGGAAUUACUGGGCGUAAAGCGCACGCAGGCGGUUGAUUGAGUCAGAUGUGAAAUCCCCGGGCUUAACCCGGGAAUUGCAUCUGAUACUGGUCAGCUAGAGUCUUGUAGAGGGGGGUAGAAUUCCAUGUGCAGCGGUGAAAUGCGUAGAGAUGUGGAGGAAUACCGGUGGCGAAGGCGGCCCCCUGGACAAAGACUGACGCUCAGGUGCGAAAGCGUGGGGAGCAAACAGG
rnacentral:rRNA from 1 species